GGAACACACUAAAGUCAUUACUUUUAAUGUUUCCAUCCAAAUAUCUGUUUAGUCAUAAUAAAGAGAUAUCUAAUUAUCUCUUCAUUCAUAAUGAAGAAACAUCCAAUGAUGGAUUAGAUUCAUAAUCUAAUACAUUUACGCUUCCAUUACGUUACCCUAAUUCUUCCUCAUUCUUGAGGAAUCCAUCCUUUAUUAUUUCUCAAAUACUUAAGGAUUCACUUGACAAUUGCCAUGGUUCUGAUUCUGCGCUUGCAUUGAUAUCGUCUUGUACCGAUCUUGGUCCAACUCAUAUCAACGUUUUUCAUACAAUAUGAAAUACGUAAAUCACCUUUCUGCGUAUGCAUAAAGGAUUCUAUUUACGCAUUAUUUCUUUGGGAGUCAAAGGGUACGU
rnacentral:lncRNA from 1 species